AGCCUUCUGAAUCUGCACAGAGAUUUAGUCAGACACCAACCCAUUAGGGCUGACCAGACUUCCAAGAUAUGUGAAGUU
rnacentral:pre_miRNA from 1 species